UGGUAGGCUAGGUUGGGAAUUUGGCCCUAUUCCUGUUGCCGUAAACGGGCCUCAUGACGGAACUGAAGCUUGGGAGGCGGUAUAUUGGUAUGUUAUCUGCCUUGAUCCAGACAAAGAUCUUCUGCCCUAUUUGGCUGGUAUUUUUGGAAACCCAGUCAGGCUAGGAAUAGAGCAGCUGUAACCAUUGGUAUUGGCGCUUAUAGGAUUACAGAAGGGAGAAAGGAUCAAGAUAACAAAUAACAUAUCUUUAUACCCACUUCCUUGCAAGCCUACUU
rnacentral:SRP_RNA from 1 species